ACCAGAGUAAACCGGUUAACAUU
rnacentral:snRNA from 1 species